GGUUGGUCCGAGUGCAGUGGCAUUUACAACUAAUUGAUCACAACCAGUUACAGAUUCCUUUGUUCCUUCUCCACUCCCACUGCUCCACUUGACCAGCCUUUA
ensembl:misc_RNA Y_RNA Y RNA